UUGGCAAACGCUGUACGUUUUCGUAUAGAGGAAAGUCCAUGCUCACAAGGACUGUGAUGUCCUUAGUGUUCGUGCUUAGGGAAACGAUAACCUAAGGUAGAGAAAUCUAACGGCGUAGAAAUAAUCUAAGUCGAUCGAUAAGAUUAAAGUAUACAUAACGUGCCACAGUGACGAUAGUUUGAAGAAAUUUAAACGUGAAACGUUGGUAAACCCCACGAGUGAGAAACCCAAAUUUUGGUAGGGGAGUCCUGAUGCAGGAAAGAUAACGAAUUCAGGGACCGAGUAAUCGGUAGAUAGAUGUUUGCCACCUAGAAAUAGGUACAGAACAUGGCUUAUAA
rnacentral:RNase_P_RNA from 1 species